AACGUCAAGUUGCGUAAUUACCCCCACCUCCAGAAUAAAAAAAAAGACACACGAACAACAAUAUAUAAAGUAUAUGCAAGUGUAUACACACACACACACACACACACACACACACACACACACAAAAGUCAUGAAUUAUUAGGUCAUUAAUUUCAGUAAAUGUACUCCAUGUGAUCUGAUCAAAACGUUACUUGCCACAAAAUAGGCACAAUAUAUGACAUUUAAAAAGAAAAACAUACUGACCUUGACAAAAAGGUCCUAAAAAGGGUCUAAAGCGAAUCUCUGUUUAUUAGUUUAUUUGUCACUGUGCAAUAAAAUUAUAAGUUUAUAAUAUUAUAAUAUGUAUUAAAAAUAUAAUACUAUUUUAAAUAGUAUUAUUAAUAGAAGCUGGAUUGCAUUUUUUUUACAAGGAAUAACAAAUGAUACCAAACUACUUAUGUUAAUAUUUCCUUUCUCAAGAAGUUUUUUUCGGGGGGGGGGGCAUUUUUUUUUUACCUUAACGACCCACAAAAGAAUAUGAAUAUCAAAAUGAAUAUCAAUGUGAUAUUUAUUUUCAAAAAUGAAAACGUGUAUCACAGGUAUAUUCGAGUCAUUUUGACAUAAGAAUGCCUUAAUAGAUAUACAAAUAGCUUAAUAACUGAAUAUCGUCAGAUGUAAUAUAAUAAAUAUUACUGGCUUAUAACACAUAACAUUAUUAUUAUUAUUAUUAUUAUUAUUAUUAUUAUUAUUAUUAUUAUUGCUUGCCGUAGUGCAUGUCAGGCAGCUGUCGAGCAGAACCCAGCUGAGCUCUCCGCGUCAACUCCAUGUGUAUUUCAUCGCAUUAUUAGCUUCAUCUUUCUGCAGGCAAUGUAGAUUUACCAAAGAACUAAUGAAUAAACAAAUUGCAAUGGCUGGCGGUGUAAUUGACAUUGUUAAUGCAAACAUUUGAAUAAAUAUGUCAUCAAAAUGCCUAUUUCGAGACACUAUGCCAACAACAGUGCAUCACAAUUCACAAUAAUAGACGAUAGGCUAUAUAUGCGUGUUUAUCGUGCAUUAUUGUCGGAGAAACCCGAGCAGGUGCUCAGAACUCAAGCGGAUGGAGUUUUUAUAGUCGCAUGUAACCUGUCGGACCUUUACAUCUGACUCAUCCUACCUUUCCAAGCCCGACCAGCAUUGUUUUAAUGAAGUCUGCGGCGAUUUGCUUCCCCUGAGAUGCUUUACGGUGCAAUUAAGAGCGUAUUUGUGAUGUGGCGUAUGAAUAUUCAAGAGAAUGUCAAUUAAUUAGCAGACAGAGGGCUCUCAUUACGAUGCUCAAAAGCCUUUAGUGGCGAGCGAAACUAUAGGGGAGGGGCUCGUGCGCCAAUCCAGUUAAACGCUAUUAUCUCACACUGCCCUCAUUUGCUUGAUGGACUUUGUCUUAAUUAUGGGCUUAUGGUUUGUUAGCUGUAUCAUCACUUAACUUAAAGGAACCAUGGUGCAAUUGUACUAUACACGCAUAGGCUACUACAGACUGAGCUCAGUCUAAGAAAUUAUUCAUAUAGCGUUAAACGCUCAUGUUAGCUUAUGUGUUAGCUUAUGUGUAAUUAUUGUAUACAUACUUCUAAUUAUGCAUUAUUGUUGUUUUAGUUUGACAUAUAAAUUACUUGUAAUAACAAUGAAAUCAAUAAAUAUAUUUCAAAAU
ensembl:lncRNA